rnacentral:rRNA from 1 species
CCUACCAAGGCGACGAUCUGUAGCGGGUCUGAGAGGAUGAUCCGCCACACUGGGACUGAGACACGGCCCAGACUCNUACGGGAGGCAGCAGUGGGGAAUAUUGGACAAUGGGCGCAAGCCUGAUCCAGCCAUGCCGCGUGUGUGAAGAAGGCCUUAUGGUUGUAAAGCACUUUAAGCGAGGAGGAGGCUACUGAAGUUAAUACCUUCAGAUAGUGGACGUUACUCGCAGAAUAAGCACCGGCUAACUCUGUGCCAGCAGCCGCGGUAAUACAGAGGGUGCAAGCGUUAAUCGGAUUUACUGGGCGUAAAGCGCGCGUAGGCGGCUAAUUAAGUCAAAUGUGAAAUCCCCGAGCUUAACUUGGGAAUUGCAUUCGAUACUGGUUAGCUAGAGUGUGGGAGAGGAUGGUAGAAUUCCAGGUGUAGCGGUGAAAUGCGUAGAGAUCUGGAGGAAUACCGAUGGCGAAGGCAGCCAUCUGGCCUAACACUGACGCUGAGGUGCGAAAGCAUGGGGAGCAAACAGGAUUAGAUACCCUGGUAGUCCAUGCCGUAAACGAUGUCUACUAGCCGUUGGGGCCUUUGAGGCUUUAGUGGCGCAGCUAACGCGAUAAGUAGACCGCCUGGGGAGUACGGUCGCAAGACUAAAACUCAAAUGAAUUGACGGGGGCCCGCACAAGCGGUGGAGCAUGUGGUUUAAUUCGAUGCAACGCGA